rnacentral:tRNA from 2 species
UUCAAAAUAGCUUAAUUUUAAAGCACUGAUUUUGUAAAUCAUAGAUAGUUCUUUCUUUUUGAAA